AGCGUCUGACUGUUGCCACAGCUCUUCCCUCCAUCCCAAACCUCUUGCUACACACUAGAUCCAAUCCCAGUGUUUUAUCCCACCAGCAUCACCCCACCCAAACUGCCUACUCUCAACAUAGAGUGCAGGACUGUGGCAAAGUACUUCACACUGUAACUGGAUACAUGGGUUACAGAGAAAUGUGGCCCAUUGAAACUGAGUACAAAGGUGCAGAGACUUCUGCAACUCUGGCUUCGGAAAAAUACUCCCCAUCCUUCGUUCUGUUUCCAGGUAACAUUGCAUUGGUAACAUGCCACCUGCCCAUGUCAGUGUGAUCCCGGGCACUUAAAGCACCACUAUUUAAAUGAUGCAGUGGUUUAUAACUGCCCAUUAACCAUAACCUACUGGUUAUUUUCAGAGCUGCUGACCUUGGUCCUCUGUUUAGUUUGGUGGAAACAAUUGUGCAAAUGGAUCAGUUCACACUUCAGAAUGAUACCACGAAUGUAAACACAAAUUGAAGUAAAUAGCUUGUUGAUGAGGUGCAGUUAUGUUUUGGGUAAAGAAACCCUCUUAACCUUCUCUAAGUGGGUCACUAUUUGGGCUCAAUACUGGACAGAGUUUGCACACAGCCAGAUGCAGAGUAUCAGUUGGUGAGAGCUGUAGGAUUCUAUAUAGUUGGGCCACAUUGUAACUGCAAUCCAAUAUAGAUGGCAAAAUGCACUUGCACAAAUACUUCUUCCGAAAUGGUGGGAAGGUUACAGAUAAAAUUAGAUGAAUGGAAUGGAGUCUCAAAUUGCAAUCAGUUGACAUGAUGCCACACAUUCCAGCUUUCUAAUGGUGCUAUUUAUACUACUAUGGUAAUGUUGACUUCCAGUGGGGGUGUGAUGCGGGGUUAGGGAUGUUCUGUUCACCAGCAUGUGGUGGUAUUGUGCAGCUUGUAAUGAGAGGCCUGUUCCACUCAGGAAAUUAAUUUUCAGUUUGGAUAAAAACACUUACAGAGAUGGAGGCAAUUCCAUUGAAUAAAAUGUACCCAAAUCAAUUGCAUCUCUCUGCUGCUGGUGGGGUGUGCCUGUUUUCCAUUGGAGAGCCGCAAAGCUUUGUAAUAUAUAUUUCCAGAUUUUUUUUGCAUUGAAAUAAUCAUCAGUCAUUCCACCGAUGUAUUUUCAUACAGUCUUCUGCAUCCAGAUUUGAAUAGUUCUGUACUGAAUACCAAAUAAAUAAAUGGAUUUUUCCAAAUAUA